CCUAACACAUGCAAGUCGAACGGUAACAGGAAGCAGCUUGCUGCUUCGCUGACGAGUGGCGGACGGGUGAGUAAUGUCUGGGAAACUGCCUGAUGGAGGGGGAUAACUACUGGAAACGGUAGCUAAUACCGCAUAACGUCGCAAGACCAAAGAGGGGGACCUUCGGGCCUCUUGCCAUCGGAUGUGCCCAGAUGGGAUUAGCUAGUAGGUGGGGUAACGGCUCACCUAGGCGACGAUCCCUAGCUGGUCUGAGAGGAUGACCAGCCACACUGGAACUGAGACACGGUCCAGACUCCUACGGGAGGCAGCAGUGGGGAAUAUUGCACAAUGGGCGCAAGCCUGAUGCAGCCAUGCCGCGUGUAUGAAGAAGGCCUUCGGGUUGUAAAGUACUUUCAGCGGGGAGGAAGGGAGUAAAGUUAAUACCUUUGCUCAUUGACGUUACCCGCAGAAGAAGCACCGGCUAACUCCGUGCCAGCAGCCGCGGUAAUACGGAGGGUGCAAGCGUUAAUCGGAAUUACUGGGCGUAAAGCGCACGCAGGCGGUUUGUUAAGUCAGAUGUGAAAUCCCCGGGCUCAACCUGGGAACUGCAUCUGAUACUGGCAAGCUUGAGUCUCGUAGAGGGGGGUAAAAUUCCAGGUGUAGCGGUGAAAUGCGUAGAGAUCUGGAGGAAUACCGGUGGCGAAGGCGGCCCCCUGGACGAAGACUGACGCUCAGGUGCGAAAGCG
rnacentral:rRNA from 1 species